AUUUCCUGCAAAACAUGUAGCCUCAUCUCAGAUGUCGAGCCAUCCCAUAAUUGGGAUAGUUGGGGAGUCCAUCCUGUUGCCCUGCAAACUGAAUUCAUCCACAACCAUUGAUCUACAAACACUCAAACUCUACUGGGAAAUUGAGCCAACUGACCAAGUUGUACAUGUCUUCUACAAUGGAGAAGAGAAGAACAGCCACCAAGAUGCGUUCUACAGAAACAGAACACAAAUCUUCCUGGACCAGCUUCCCUCUGGGAAUUUCUCCCUCUUGCUCAAAGAUUUAAAGGUGGAUGAUGACCAAACAGCGUUUUUUCUCUUUCAUCGUCAAGAAUACAAAAGUGGCCAUGAAAUUAUCCAGGAUAAGAAGUUGUGCCUCACCAAUGUAAAAGUAGCAAAAAGUUUCCAGACACCGGUUGUGAUGAUAAAUUAUGAAGACAGGAAGGCAGAAUGUUCUAGUACUGGGGGAUAUCCUGAACCUACACUGACCUGGACCGACCAGAACAGCGUUCUGGACCAGGACAUUCCUCAGAUCAUCAGGGUUCCAGAAAGUGGAACGUUUAACAUUUCCAGCACGGUGAACAUUACAGAGAAUCAGAUUCUGACGUGUGCCAUCUUCAACCCAACUCUGAAUGAGACCUUGAUCACCACACAGACAACCACCCAGAACACAAAUCCCUCAAACAAUGUUUCUGGUAUUGUUAUUGGUUUUGCUAUUGGAGCCCUGCUGUUUGUUGUCUGCAUUGUUGCCUAUAGAUAUAUAAAAUACCGUGGUGACAUAAGGUUAUGCUGUCAACAAAACUGACCCUUCUCCAAGCAGAAAUUGAAGAAUUGAAUCAAGAACAGUAACAAUCAGCAGCCAGACUCCUCCACUUAGGAUGAAGGCAAACUGUGUAGUUGGUUAGUGUCUUUGGUUGGUUGGUCUUUGUACCGGUUAAAAGCCUAGCAGCUGCAUUCUGGACAAGCUGAAGCAGGACAAGGAUGACUGACAGACUCCCAAAUACAAAGAGUUACAAUAGUCCAGGCGGGAGGAAACGAAGGGAUGAAUAAAUCCAAAUCCUUGAAAGUAAGACUGUUUCAAUUUGGCAAAUGGAGCUGGAAAAAGCUACCUCUGACAACAGCGUUGACUUGUUUAUCAAAUGAUUUCAGAAUAAAAACAUUAGAGAUUUUUGCAUUGUUAUGAACAUUGAUGGCUAGAGGCCCCAAGCUGUAAACAAUAACUAAGUACAUGGAUUGAUAGAGGCCCUACAUUAUUAACAAUAUCUAUGUACAUGGAUGGAUAGAGGCCUUAAGCUAUUAAUAAUAAAUCAGUUAUGGUUACAGACACUCCCCACCUCCAUGCACUUGUAUUUCGAAUGUAAUUAAUUUGCCAAAAAGAGAGAAAAUGAAACAAAGUUGAAGAUUAAUUUCUUUCUUUAGAUUUUCUAUAGAUUCCGCAAUAAUAUAGUUACAGUGAAUUAUUUUGGCCACGAUAAUCGUGUAGUGAAAAUCUGAUAUUGUGACAGCCCUAAUAGAGACCCUGCGUUAUUAACAAUAUCUAUGUACAUUGAUGAUAGAGGCCCUACAUUAUUAACAAUAACUAUGUACAUUGAUGAUAGAGGCCCUACGUUAUUAACAAUAUCUAUGUACAUUGAUGAUAGAGGCCCUACAUUAUUAACAAUAACUAUGUACAUUGAUGAUAGAGGCCCUACAUUAUUAACAAUAACUAUGUACAUUGAUGAUAGAGGCCCUACGUUAUUAAGUCUCUGGGGCCAACUUCUGUUUUAAAAAAAGGUUUAAAUAGCCAGUAUUGUAUGUCUCUAAAACAAUCAAAGGUUAAUUUCAGGGAUUUGUUGUCACCAAGUUUCAGGGGAAGGUAUUAUUGUGUCAUCGUCAUAGCAAUGGUAAGGGAUGUUAUAUUUCUAAAAGAUGGAGCCCAAGGGAAGCACAUAUAACAUGAUUAAACAAUAGGUCUUGGUUGAAAAACAAAAGGCUCAAAACGGCAGGAACAAGGAUCAGGCAACAUCAACAGCAACAAUAGCCAAUAGAAAACACGGAGCAGGAGGAACUUAAAGAGGGAGGCAAACGAGGGAGCAAAGAAGACACAGCUUAAGACAACAAUACAGAAGGCAAGCUACGUUCAAAAUCAAAGGACUGUGUUCAAUGGCCUGCACACCAUCCAUCUUUCUGCUACUAUAGUUUGCAGCAGAAAUGGAAGAAUUGAAUCAAGAACAGUAACAAUCAGCACCCAGACUCCUCCACUGAUGAUGAAGACAAACUGUGUGGCUGGUUUACAGUCUUCUGAGGAGUCUGUCAUUGGUACUAUAUUAGGUAACACUUCACAUUAUGUAAACAUGUAGUAAUACGGUUAUAAACAUGACUUAAUGAUUACAUGAAACAUCUAUAGACCAGGGUUUAUAUUACCCUUAAUAAACUUGAAUUAAUUACUUUCAUUUACAUUAAUUAAUGA